rnacentral:rRNA from 1 species
AUGAACGCUGGCGGCGUGCCUAAUCCAUGCAAGUCGAGCGAACGGACGAGAAGCUUGCUUCUCUAAUGUUAGCGGCGGACGGGUGAGUAACACGUGGAUAACCUACCUAUAAGACUGGGAUAACUUCGGGAAACCGUAGCUAAUACCGGAUAAUAUUUUGAACCGCAUGGUUCAAAAGUGAAAGACGGUCUUGCUGUCACUUAUAGAUGGAUCCGCGCUGCAUUAGCUAGUUGGUAAGGUAACGGCUUACCAAGGCAACGAUGCAUAGCCGACCUGAGAGGGUGAUCGGCCACACUGGAACUGAGACACGGUCCAGACUCCUACGGGAGGCAGCAGUAGGGAAUCUUCCGCAAUGGGCGAAAGCCUGACGGAGCAACGCCGCGUGAGUGAUGAAGGUCUUCGGAUCGUAAAACUCUGUUAUUAGGGAAGAACAUAUGUGUAAGUAACUGUGCACAUCUUGACGGUACCUAAUCAGAAAGCCACGGCUAACUACGUG